rnacentral:misc_RNA from 1 species
GAGACGCUCGGUCGCCAAUUUCGUCCUGUUGCGGAGAUCGGACAGCUGAUACCCCGGCGCACAUACCGUGGCCAGACUCCCGCGAAAUCGUCAUCAUGGAACGGCCAGUUGCUCUACACCACACUUCGCCAGCAUGAACCUGGGCAUCCGCUGGUCCGGGAAACCAUUCGCGGCGCACUCGAAGACAUGAUGGACGCCGAGCGCGCACAACGGGAGUCCGAGAGAAUCUACAACUCGGAAUGGGAGAUUUUCGAUCUGCCGCGUCCAACGCCGUUCGGGCUUGAGCUCUUUGCGGCGUUCAGCCGGGAAACGCUCCUGGCGCAGGAUCCGGACCGUGCUCUCGAUGAACUCGUGUCGGCUCUGUAUGAGGAAUGGGCUUGAGCCGGUUC